rnacentral:rRNA from 1 species
GAUGAACGCUGGCGGCGUGCCUAAUACAUGCAAGUUGAGCGAACAGACGAGGAGCUUGCUCCUCUGACGUUAGCGGCGGACGGGUGAGUAACACGUGGAUAACCUACCUAUAAGACUGGGAUAACUUCGGGAAACCGGAGCUAAUACCGGAUAAUAUAUUGAACCGCAUGGUUCAAUAGUGAAAGACGGUUUUGCUGUCACUUAUAGAUGGAUCCGCGCCGCAUUAGCUAGUUGGUAAGGUAACGGCUUACCAAGGCGACGAUGCGUAGCCGACCUGAGAGGGUUGUCCGGCACACUGGAACUUAGAACACGUUCCAAAUCCCAAGGGAAGGCAGAAGUGGGGAAUCUCCGGCAUGGGCCGAAGGCCUACGGAGGCAACGCGGGGUGAGUAAUGAGGGUCUUCGAUUGGUAAACCUCUGUAUUAGGGAAGAACAAAUGUGUAAGUAACUAUGCACGUCUUGACGGUACCUAAUCAGAAAGCCACGGCUAACUACGUG